GAUGAACGCUGGCGGCGUGCCUAAUACAUGCAAGUCGAGCGAACGGACGAGAAGUUUGCUUUUCUGAUGUUAGCGGCGGACGGGUGAGUAACACGUGGAUAACCUACCUAUAAGACUGGGAUAACUUCGGGAAACCGGAGCUAAUACCGGAUAAUAUUUUGAACCGCAUGGUUCAAAAGUGAAAGACGGUCUUGCUGUCACUUAUAGAUGGAUCCGCGCUGCAUUAGCUAGUUGGUAAGGUAACGGCUUACCAAGGCAACGAUGCAUAGCCGACCUGAGAGGGUGAUCGGCCACACUGGAACUGAGACACGGUCCAGACUCCUACGGGAGGCAGCAGUAGGGAAUCUUCCGCAAUGGGCGAAAGCCUGACGGAGCAACGCCGCGUGAGUGAUGAAGGUCUUCGGAUCGUAAAACUCUGUUAUUAGGGAAGAACAUAUGUGUAAGUAACUGUGCACAUCUUGACGGUACCUAAUCAGAAAGCCACGGCUAACUACGUG
rnacentral:rRNA from 1 species